AGCCGGCCCCGCCCACGCGCGGGAGCGGGUGCCCGGAGCCUGCCUCCUUCGCAGUUCUCGCUGGGCGCUGCUGCGGGCACGUGGGCCCUGCCCUGAGCGCCUCACACCAACCCGAGGCGGGAGGAGGAGGAGGGCGUCCUGAGAGUGCCCUGUCAAGCAAAAACUCUAAGAGAAAAAGCCAGGCUGACCCAGGAGAGGCCUGAGGGAGGGGAGUGGAGAUGAGGCUCGGCCACCCCAGGGCUGCCCGGUGCUGGGGGAGAAGACGCUGAGAAGAGGAGGAGAAUGGGGAGGAAGGGACGGACACCCCAAGAGCACGCAGGCUGAAGACUGGGCUGCCUCCCCGGAGACCGACCAGCCUGCCCUAGGAAUCAUAUUCUGCACUGGAAGAAGCCUUGAGAGUUGCCUGGCCCAGAGGUCACAAACCAGAGCCCUGCGGGCUGAGCUCUACCCACAGUGCAGUUAUCAGUCACCGUGUAGCGGUCACCGACGGCCACAUUAAUGCUGCGUAACAAACAGCCUCAGAGCCCACCGUUGUGUGUCGCCAGGCGGUGCUGUCCAUGCCCAGGCCCCAAGAAAGGCAGGGGAAAGGCUGAGCUGGGCCUGUGCCCUCUGUCCCUUCCUAUGAGCCUCUAGAGCAAAGCUUUGCUGAAGGCUGUUGUCUGAACCAAGGCCACAGAGGAAGCACGCUCCCUGCUCCCACUUUGCCCCUCGUACCCGCCUGAGGGCAUCUUAAUUAAGCCUUCCUUCCCCACGCUCAGAAAAAUAAAUACUUGGGAGACAGCAGA
ensembl:lncRNA novel transcript